AAUAGCCUAACGGCUGAACCAGCAACUUGGAAGAAUGUAUAACGAAUAAGUCGUAUAAAAUUCUAGAUAGAAAACUGAUAAUGACUAUUAUCUAUCUAUUAGUCUUGACCAAAUUACGUGCCAGCAGUCGCGGCAACACGCAGAAGACAAGUGUUAUUCAUCUUUAAUCGGUUUAAAGGGUACCUAGACGGUAAAUCAAGCCUUAGUAGGGACUAAUUUUCUAGAGUUUUAUGGGAGAAAGUCGAAUAUCUGGAAGAGAGAUAAAAUAUUGUGAUACCAGAAAGACGGGCAACGGCGUAGGCUACUUUCUAUGUAAAAACUGACGUUGAGGGACGAAGCCCUGGGUAACGAGAAGGAUUAGAUACCCCAGUAGUCCAGGGAGACAAUGAUGAGUGCCAUAGGCUAGGUAAAUUAGUCUAUAAAUGAAAGUGCAAGCAUUCCACCUCAAGAGUAAAGCGGCAACGCCCAAAUUGAAAUCAUUAGACCGUUCCUGAAACCAGUAGUGAAGUAUGUUAUUUAAUUCGAUAAUACGCGAAUAACCUUACCACGUUUUGAAUACGAAGGGAGAAAAGUAUUGCAGGAUGCUUUCAUAAACCCCUACCUACAAGCGCUGCACGGCUGUCUUUAGUUAAUGUCGUGAGACUUUGGUUAACCCCUUUAAUUAACGAAAACCCUUGUUUUAUUUGUUUAAAUAAAACAGUUCUCCGCUAUAUUGGAUAAGAUAAUAGGGAUUAAGGCAAGUCAUCAUGGCCUAAAUAACGU
rnacentral:rRNA from 1 species